GAUUGAUGUUUUGUCAUCCACCUGCUUCUAAGCUGUAAAAGCAAGCGCAGCAAAGGCAAACCUACCCAGCUUCAAAAUCCAAACAAAGAAAUCUUAGUGGGCUGUUUACAUAUCUGUGCAAGGAUUUCUGUGUUUGUGUUGACGGGGUGCACAAUGGACGAGUGGGAAAUCAAAGACUGGAAUUCUGGGAGAACGCUGGGGAAACUGAUGAAGGGGCGAGCUGGAAAGGAGGACGGAUACUUCCUGUUCCUGCUGGAGUGACCCACAGGUCUGAAGAGAAGUGAGGGAGAGGAAGGCGGAGAAAGUUCAUUUUAAAAAGUAUUUCCAAGUAUGCAGUGAAACCUGCUAAAGUACCCUCUGGUGUAAACAUACCCCUCGAUGGGAAUCACCGAUGUAAUGGACAAACAAGCACAAACUCGGUGAUAUCUGCAUCAAAUCUCGCAGGUGAGCGAUGGCUUGGACCUGCAGAGUUAGCUGGAUUUCUCGCCUCUCUUGGCUUUAGCCUGGAAAAGUGCUGAUCGUGGAAGGGGAGCUGGAGGAGCUCUCUCUUGGGCAGAUGGUGGGAAGACAGGGGGAGUAGUCACCCUGCUGCUUGGCCAACAGGGACACACACAGACACAUUCGCAUACGGCACACCCACACAGGAAACAUUAGAACAACGAUUUGUCAUAGUCUUUCAUUUCGACUGAGGAGUUUUUUUGUUGUUGGAAAUAAGCCUUUGAGUUUAUUAUUAUCUUCCUCUGAGUCAGUACGUUUAAGAGUUCAGCAGACACAUCUUAUGAUGGUGACAGGCCAUUCUUCUUUCUCUAACUGACAACAAGCUAUUUGUGAGGAAUUUCUCUCGAACUAUACAUCAAAGCUUUUAUGAUGCAAGGACAAA